rnacentral:rRNA from 1 species
UACGGAGGGUGCGAGCGUUAAUCGGAAUUACUGGGCGUAAAGCGUGCGCAGGCGGCGCGUUAAGCCAGGCGUGAAAGCCCCGGGCUCAACCUGGGAACUGCGCUUGGGACUGGCGUGCUUGAGUUGGGUAGAGGCAGGCGGAAUUCCGGGUGUAGCGGUGAAAUGCGUAGAUAUCCGGAGGAACACCAGUGGCGAAGGCGGCCUGCUGGGCCCAAACUGACGCUGAGGCACGAAAGCGUGGGUAGCAAACAGG